GUGCUCCUUGCUCAUGGACCCUGCUUAGGUUCAUCUGUUGCAUUUCCAUUGUCAAGGCCUUACCCAGGCCUAGUCUCUGUUUCUGGGACAUCUUCUGGAAUGGCACUCCUGGCACUGCGAGUAUACCGCAUCUUCUAGUGCUUGCUGUAUGAAUGUAAACUCCGUCUUCCACUUCGCGUUUGGAGGUCCCUGUCAGCCAAGGGCCCUUAUCUUUGUUGAGAACUGUGUGUGUGCUCAAUGUCUCAAAUGCCUGCAAAGUAGAAUUGUAGUUCUUCUUUUGUAGGCUACAAAAGAAGGCUCAGAGAAGUUCAGGAGCUUGAGCAAAGUCACAGAACAGGAAGUGGUGGGUGCUAGGAUUAACUGUCAGAUUGGUUUGGUUCCAAAGCCCAUUCUCUUUCCAUAACUAUGGGUGGCUUUCAAGGAGGUAUGAGGAAGUAAGAAAGGUAAGAAAGACAGUGACCAGGAAGAGUAGACCAGGAGCCUAAGAUCUUUACAGUGACACACUUUGUGAGUAACUAACUUCAGGGAGGUGGGCUUGUUAAUAAACAGAGUGGAGAAACUGGUCACAAGUACAGAAGGGAGUCGAGGGACUCCCUUCUGUCAGCAUGAAGCUUGUCAUAAUUAACAAACUCUGCUCUUCCAGAUUUAAAAUCAAGAUGAAAUUAAUGUUUCCCUUAGAAAUGUGUGCUGUGGUCCAGGCGCGGUGGCUCAUGCCUAUAAUCCCAGCACUAUGGGAGGCUGAGGCUGGUGGAUCACAAGGUCAGCAGUUCAAGACCAUACUGGCCAUCAUGGUGAAACCCCAUCUCUACUAAAAGUACAAAAAUUAGCUUGGUGUGGUGGUGCAUGCCUAUAAUCCCAGUUACUCGGGAGGGUGAGAGAUGAGAGUCACUUGAACCCAAGAGGUGGAGGUUGCAGUGAGCUGAGAUUGUGCCACUGCACUUCAGCCUGGUGACAGAACAAGACUGUCAAAAAAAAAGAAAGAAAGAAAGAAAGAAAGAAAGAAAGAAAGAAAGAAAGAAAGAAAGAAAGAAAUGGAUGCUGUGCUGGAAUGAGGAAUAUUGAAUUCACUUGGCUUUGGGAUACAGUCUUGUUACUUCCGGGUCCUGGAGGCACACAGGCUAUGUAUAUUUGUAACAGAUUCACACACAUGAUUGGGCCAGUAAUCUUGACCACAACCUCCAGGAAGUAUGAACUUAACAUCUGUAAGAAAAGCACAAAUGUUGCUUCUCUGGUUAGCUGUGACUAGUAAUGGCCCCACUUUGCUAGAAGUUCCUGAUGUAACACAUCUUAAUCCAAAAUACGGCUCACCCCUACCCCCAGUAUAUGGAGAAUAGCUAGCAUUCUUCCUUUUCCUCUUAGAAGGUGGAUUAGUACCACCUGUCUCAGCUAACGUUCAUGGGAUUCAGCAGGAAAAACAGUAUUAUGAGGGGAAAGCUUCUUUGAAUGCAGUAUUUUAGGAUUAUUUCUUUGGUUGCUAAACUGCUACCUUUGUAUUGAAAGGCGAUGAGACAUUUUCUGCCUGAGAGACAGAGAUAUCCUAGAAAGGUGUCAAGUUAAAAGAGGGCCGAUGAAAAGACUUGAGCCACAGCCAUCGGAGGAGGGGAAGCGAUUGAUUGCAGGCAUUGCUUACAUUUUCUUCCCACUGCUACAGUUGAGGGAAGGAUUGUGGUCAUCACCUUGCUGCCCCAUCCCACCCCUUCUUCUGUGGAAGGUAUUACCAUGGGCCAUGAUUCCAACUGGAUCGUUGCCAUCCACCAAGGCUGCUCAAUGAUUUUCUCUGUAUAGAGAAAAGGUGGAAGUUACAGUGCCUCGAGGUUCAAAGAGCUGUCUCCUUUGAACUAGGAGUCUCCUUUGAGCCGGAGUCCUGCAGCUCGCUCUUGGCUUUGGCAUUCAACGGGGAUGGUAUCAUGGGCUGGGCAUUUAACCUUUUGCUGUCUGCGUUUCCCCCUUUCUUAAAAUGGAGCAGCUGGCCUCUGAAGACCUGGGAGCUGAGGUUGCCGCCCUGAAGGAGCUGGAGGUGGACAAGCCCUUUUUGGGGAAAUUCAGCUGGGUAUGUGUUGGGGUGACAGUAGAUCACUGGAACGAGUGGGACUAUUUAAAAGAGGAAGAGGCAAAGACUGCUGUGAUUUGGAUUUGGUGGGCUCAAAGAGUCAUCUGAAAACCCUAGUAAGACAAAGAAUUUGAAAGAGAGGAGUGUAUCUAUAAUAUAUAAAUAGAAGUCUUUGGGACAUGGGUGAAGACUUCAUAUAUGGAUAUAUAGCUCACAGCUGGUAAGCGAUCACGAAGCUGGUGAUGUAGUAAAGGCAGAAUUUUAAACAGAAUUUUAUGAAUGUUUUAUUUUCAUGAGAAACGUCAUGGAAGGGGAAAGAUUUUGGGGGUAAGAUUUGUUUCCUUAUAUGUGUUAUGUGGGAAUAACUACACUUGAACUCCAGGCUAGUAUGAAGAUUCUUAGAGUGCCUGUCAAAGCCCGUUAUCUCAAUACACCCAUAAUAAAGAACAGAGGUCUGAAGUUUUCGCAGACCCUUUGUGUCCUCAUUAUGUGACUUUAGGCAAGUCCCCUUGUCUUCCUAAGUCACAGUUUGUUGUCAUCUGUCAAGUGAGAAUGGUAUCAACUCACAGAGUUGCUGAGAAUAUAAAAUAAUAUGGUCCAUAAAUAACCCAGUGCUUGGCUCAUGUAAGACCUCAAUUAAUUCUUGCUUUUGCCAAAACAACAAUUAAAAUAUACAUACUGCAAAAUGUCAGGCGUAUAGCAAAUGUGCAUGAAAAAUCAGAUUCUCUUUCUUGUAAAUAUAUGCUUCCUUUUUUUCU
rnacentral:lncRNA from 1 species